AUACGGAGGGGACUAGCGUUGUUCGGAAUUACUGGGCGUAAAGCGCGCGUAGGCGGUCCGCGUAGUCAGGCGUGAAAGCCCCGGGCUCAACCUGGGAACUGCGUUUGAUACUGGCGGACUAGAGUUCGGGAGAGGGUAGUGGAAUUCCCAGUGUAGAGGUGAAAUUCGUAGAUAUUGGGAAGAACACCAGUGGCGAAGGCGGCUACCUGGACCGAUACUGACGCUGAGGUGCGAAAGCUAGGGUAGCGAACGGGAUUAGAAACCCCAGUAGUCC
rnacentral:rRNA from 1 species